rnacentral:misc_RNA from 1 species
UAGGUAGCAAAUUGUAUGUUUUAAAAAAUAAACAACUUUUUACAUAUUUUUACAAGUCAAAACUAUAAUAUAAAAAUAUGUUUUUUAAAAUCAAGGCAAUAUCAGUGUGGGUGGGCAGGCCUAAACCCAUCCUUGUCACAACCUUUAGCAGGGUAGGGAUUCUCCAUUGAGUUUGCUGGUGAGCAUGGAUUACCUGGUAGGACAGGAGAAAUUUGCAUUGGUGGGGGGCUUUUUAUUUGUUUGACAGUUAGAUGUAUGCCUUCAAAUGACUGCAGUCUUUUCUAAAGGUUGAGUCCAUAAUAGCUGUUAACCUUCACAGGAUAACUGGAUGAUUUGUGAGCUCAAAACAUUUUCCUCUUUCGCGCAGAACAAAUAUGCAUAAACAGAGGAAACAAGUUAUUUAAAUGUAUAAUGAAAUAUAUGAUGAAUAUUGUGUGCCAUUGUGUCUUUCCAACUCAAUGAUGAAUUUAGUCAAGCCCUAGAAGGAAGAGAUAGAGAAGAUACAGUGGUAUCAGCCCACCACUAUGCUGAUUGAUGUGCUUUGUUUUAACUUCUCAUUUCUGGCAUCUUACGUUGGAUAGAAAAUUUGCUUUAAUCUGCCAGCAUAUGGUGUCUUCUUAGACAUUAUACACUACAGAAUCCAAUUUCUUCUUCACUAAAGUGAAUUGAUAUUUUGACAUUCAAACAGGUAAAGACAGUUGAAGGAGUAA